UCUGACCGAGCAACGCCGCGUGAGUGAAGACGGUUUUCGGAUCGUAAAGCUCUGUUGUAGGGGAAGAACGUGUGUAAGAGUGGAAAGCUUACACAGUGACGGUACCCUACCAGAAAGGGACGGCUAACUACGUGCCAGCAGCCGCGGUAAUACGUAGGUCCCGAGCGUUGUCCGGAUUUAUUGGGCGUAAAGGGAGCGCAGGCGGUUUAGUAAGUCUGAAGUUAAAGGCAUUGGCUCAACCAAUGUAUGCUUUGGAAACUGUUAGACUUGAGUGCAGAAGGGGAGAGUGGAAUUCCAUGUGUAGCGGUGAAAUGCGUAGAUAUAUGGAGGAACACCGGUGGCGAAAGCGGCUCUCUGGUCUGUCACUGACGCUGAGGCUCGAAAGCGUGGGUAGCGAACAGGAUUAGAUACCCUGGUAGUCCACGCCGUAAACGCUGAGUGCUAGGUGUUAGGUCCUUUCCGGGACUUAGUGCCGACGCUAACGCAUUAAGCACUCCGCCUGGGGAGUACGACCGCAAGGUUGAAACUCAAAGGAAUUGACGGGGGCCCGCACAAGCGGUGGAGCAUGUGGUUUAAUUCGAAGCAACGCGAAGAACCUUACCAG
rnacentral:rRNA from 1 species